AGGGGAUUAGCCUAUCGGCUAGGCAGCGGAUUCCAAAUCCGCCAAGGUGGGUUCGACUCCUACAUCCCCUGCCG
rnacentral:tRNA from 1 species